rfam:Clostridium argentinense CDC 2741 T732.Contig247, whole genome shotgun sequence.
CGAGUAAGCCAGACAAUCGCUGCUGAUUUAUUCAGGAGAGGAAAGUCCGAGCUCCAUAGGGCAGGGUGCUGGGUAACCCCCAGUGGAGGCAACUCUAAGGAAAGUGCAACAGAGAGAUACCGCCUAAGUUUACUUAGGUAAGGAUGGAAAGGCGAGGUAAGAGCUCACCAGCGUACUGGCGACUGUACGGCUAUGUAAACCCCACCUGGAGCAAGACCGAAUAGGAAGGUAAAUGGGAUUGCCCGUCCCGCCUUCGGGUGUGUCGCUUGAGCCCAUUGGUAACAAUGGGCCUAGAUAGAUGAUUGUCAAAUACAGAACUCGGCUUAUAGGUUUACUCGUACC